AUUUGGGGAUAUCUUGUGAGCCCAAAUGUAUUGACUACAUUUCUUUUUGUUUGCUCUGUGUUGAAUGUUGGCUUAAAUGGGUCAGCAUUCUACUCUGUGGCGGGAGGCAAUGUUGGACCGAGUCAUGUUUGAAAUGGCGUGAGGCUGGGUGGGCCUAGUCAUGUUCGAAGUGGCGGUGAGGUUGGUUGAGCCGAGUCACAAUCGAGACCCGUGGGUGCUGUAUUUGCACACUUUAAGUGAAUUGGUUGUAUAUUUCUAACAGUUCGAGCUUUUNCUAUCCUGUAAUUGUAGCCCAGGUUGAGCCGAGUCAUAUUUAAAAUGACGUGAGGUUGGAUUAAGCCGAGUCAUGUUCGAAGUGGCGUGAGGUUGGUUGAGCCGAGUCACAAUCGAGACCCGUGGGUGCUGUAUUUGCACACUUUAAGUGAAUUGGUUGUAUAUUUCUAACAGUUCGAGCUUUUGGGAUUAAUGGUUAGUGCCAACGAUUCGACAUUGAAUUUCUAGCUUAUGGACUAAUGCUUAGUGAGAUAAAUAAAAAUGAUUA
rnacentral:lncRNA from 1 species